rnacentral:lncRNA from 1 species
AGGGGGAGAACAUGAAACACAGCUUUUUAAUUAUGAUCAAAAAGAGGAAGAAAAUGUUUAAAGCUUAUUAUUAUUCACUAAUGCUCUUUUUCUCCACAAGUUGUGUUUUUUACUCAGAUUAUUACUAAAAGCUUUAAUUCAGAGUAGUUUUUGAUCAUCAUAAAAAAAGGGGAGAAUGUUAGCAAAAUGAUGAAGAUGAAGUUUUGAUGAUG